UCUGGUAUUUUAUUCUGGAAUGAGAGGAUGGAAAUCCAAAGCAGAACCUCAAGGUAUGUGUUCUUCAGAAAUAGUAAGUGGGAUAUUCUUAUUCUUUUUCUUUUAUGGUUAAAUAUUCAUAUGAUGUUACUUGCAGACAUUUGAUGCCUCAUUUAGAUUUGGAUAAGCAAGUUGUUGAUAUACUUUCUUGGUGUUUGCUUUCAAAUUGUUAACGAUAAGCCCACUAGCUCUGCCUAACAAUGAUAAAAAGUAGUCACUAGAAGAAAGAAAUGAACACACAGUUUAUGACCACCACAAACUCUACAACUUGAUCUCGGACAGAGCACUAUCAUCAAAAAGGUGAGGAUAUCAUCCGAUUAGGGCCCAAAAUUUGUUCCAAAUCUAUUAUGAUACUACGGUAGGUUCCCUGUUUUUUUUUUUUUUUUGUGUGUGGUUCUGCUGCUGCUGAAAUAAAGAGAAUUUUUUCUCGUAAUAUAAUAUCCUUCUCGUUAUUUUCUGUCUGUUUAAUGAGGUCAGAUGGUCAUUUGUCCACGAAAAGACUGAUUUUGUCUGUCCUCGAGAAGACUACUCUUCUACGUCUUUUAUUUCAUGGAUUUGAUCACCACCUCGUAUUUAUCUUUAUUUUAUUUUCACGUAAUGAUAUGAGAAAAAAAAAAUUUAGAAAACAGGCUUACUAAGUGCAAUGAUGAUUAAAUAAAUCGUAUAGUAAGUCCUAAAUAUAAUCAUCCAUAAUUGUAUUUUUUUUUCUUUUUUCUUUUGUCACAAUUCUGAGGUAGAAUAAUUUUCAUAUCUCGAGCACUUUCAUUUUUCUUUUGUCUCCGCCUUUCUAUAUUGUUUGUUAGUUCUCAUCCUCUACUCUCAUCAAUGGAUUCUUUCUUGUCUUCUCUCUGUCACAGUAGAUUUAUGAAAGAAAAGAUAAAUAAAUAAUUAAGAUCGUAGUGAGAUGAGAGAAACAGAGAAGAUUCCACAGAUCCUAAAUCCAAACUCUUAUUCAUUAGCAUCGAUUCCCUGGAAGCCAAAGAAACAUACAUAUAAGGAUGACGCCACGCAUCGAUGCUUCCUUCCGUCUCUUACUACGUCUCUUGCUACAUAAGAGGUGGAGUAAAAUCCAGCGAGGAGUAACUACUCGGCGUCGGUUCAUUGCUUGUGGGAGAGAGUCAUCUCGCGCAGCUCGGCUGCGUCCACCUGCGCUCGGAGGUUGCUGGGCCUGUAGUACCCCGUCACCGGGUCCGGGACCCAAGAAUUCGACGAAGCAGAGGUGGAGGAGGAGGCGGCGGUGGUCGAGGAGUCUACCACCUUGCGCGCCACCGUUUUCUGCUCCACGGACCUUCUCACACCAGCCGCCGCCGCCGCUGCCGCAGCGUAUCCCCUCCUGGAUGAAUCGAACGGAGCAGGAGUAAGUAAUGGUCCAAUUAUAGAUUAUAGAUUAUAGAUAGAUGAUGAUGAUUGGUAUAUCAGUUACCGGUUAACCAAGAGGGCGAUGUUUUGAGAGACGGACGCAGCGAGAGCAGCAGCACUAGAGAGAGAGCGAGCCAUCUGCCCUCUUCGUUUUAUCACCUUAAUUUCUCUAGCUAGUAGAAAGAAAGAGAAGAGAUGGACGAACAGGAAGAGGUCCUUCUCUUCGUGUUGUUGUGCUCCUCUCUCUCUUUCUCUCUCUCUCCUUCUAUCCUCCCUACCUUGGCCUGUUUGGUUUGGGGAUGAAGUGAGACCGAAUGCCAAGGUGUUUAUUUAUAGCAACAGCUGUGAACCGGAAAUGGCUGUGUAUGUGUUUUGUGUGGGAGGAAACGAAGCCGUGGGGCGGGUUAUCACCCAGUAGUAUCUCUUUGGCUCUUCCGCAUCGCCACGAGCCGCUGUUUCCUUUAAUUAAUUCCCCGAGAGAGAGAGAGAGAGAGAGCUGUGUGGUCCGGAGAAUUCGACCUCCGCCAUCUUGCCUUUGAAAAAUCUUCUGCGCCGCAGCUGCUGACAGGCAGACUCCUCUGCUCAGCUGCUGACAGGCAGUCAGGUGGAUGUCAACUUCUACAAGAUAUUCCAGUGGCUUGUUUAAAUGGAUUCCCUGUCCAACUUUUUGGUUUGGGGAAGAACUCUAGAUACUAUCAAAGUAUCAAUCUAAUUGUGAUCUGAUCACUUGGUAUCGUGCUCCAUCAAUCUAACUGCUAAGAUAUAAAAUGUAGUUUGGUCGGAGACACCUGUCGAGAAAACAGAUCAUGCACUGAUUUCUUCUUGGAUUUGCAGACAAUUCAAGCAGUUGUAGAAAGAGAGAUGAGAUGAGCCGGUUGGAGAGGGGGAUUGAUGGAACCCUAUUUGUUCUACCGUCAACAAGUGGCUGGUGGAUUGAGUGCCAAGAACAUUAUCUUUAGUAUCAAAACAACGAGAGCUUUUAGGCUAGUGGAUUUUGAGUGCCACGAACACCACAUGCAAACAUUAUCCUUAGUAUCAGAACAACGAUAGCUUUUUGAGGAUGAAGAGUAUGGCAUCACUAAUUAUCUUUAUCGAGGUGUCUAAAAGUAAGUUAAUGGUAUCAUUGCGUAAGUGAUAAAUCUCAUGCAUAUUGUUUUCAUCUGACUUCUUUCCCUUUUAGUUUUGCUCUGUUCUGAUAAUAAAACUGUGGCUUUGUCUUAGAUUACGAGGGGAGAAGAAGUAGAUGCUUAAAGAGACAAGCUCCUCAAACAAAGCCAGUCAAACUUAAUUACAUGAGUAAGUCAAUUUGGUAUCUCAAGUAUAGAACACUUUGGGCUUCUCUGCUGGAGUUGGAGUAGGUCGUUUAAUCGAGCUCGUUUCUUUGCUGAUGCCAUUUGCAUUCCCAGACAAUAUCUUCAUUAAAUCAUUCUAAAGGAAAAAAGAAGAAACAAUUAGUAGCAUAGAACCAAUAAAGCUUCGUAUCGCAGAAACCACUCCUACGAAGUCUUAGUGCUUGCCAUUUGUUCAUUUUCGUGUGUAUAUAUACAACGCCAACUUUAAAAGCUUCUGUCUAUUGAUUUUCCUCAAAAUAGAUCUAGAGAUAAUGAGAGAUUAGAUAAAAAGAAAAAGGGUGUAAUAAGGAGAGUUAUGUUUGAGUUUAGGAUAAUUUAAGAAAAUUUAUAAUUUAAUCUCACAUGAUGAAAAUUUUAAUUAUCUCUAUAAAAAAAAUAAAAAGGGUCCAACUACUUAAAUCUUUUAUCCAUCUUUAUAAUUUUUGUUUGAUUUUUGAUCUAUGAAUUUUUGUUUGAUUGAUGGUCUAUGAAUUUUCUUAGUGUAACAGAUUUUACAGACACCAAAAAUUAAAAUUGCUCAAGUUCUCUCCACAUCUUAAAAUUACACCUACGCCUAUUUAAGUUUUACGACUUGUUCAAGUCAAAUAUCUUUGAUGAUGCCAGUUUGAACACUAGUCAUUAUUUUUUCUUAGAGUAUGAUGUGAUUUGUAUGAAUAUUAAUUAUUCUUCAACUAUGACAGAUGAACAUUUUUCAACAUAUUUAUUACUAUAGCAUCCAUUUCGAUUAUUAAGAUAGUAAAUAAUAUAACGCAUAGUUAAACAUGUUAGGAUAAACUAGCAGGGGUGAAUUAGUGUUUUUGUAGAAGUUACGAAUUAGAAAAUCCUCGUUCGAUAAACUCCUAUCAGAAAGAUACUUAAUUUAAAAUCAGUAAGUAAUAAAGGUAAAUAUCAAAAGAAAAGAGUAUACCAAAUUUAUCGUGGUUCGAUCAUCGGCGUCGAUGUCCACUAAUGAUCUUUCUUUAAUGGGUGAAGACCAAUUACCAUUUUACAACUCUUUUCUCCUUUUGGCAAGUUUAGAAAAGAACUUUUACACCCCCUUUUUAUAAAGUUUUCCUCACACUCUCUCUUAGAAUAGUUUUUAAACUUUAGGAGGAGAGACUCAACACUUUACAAGGGUUUACAAAUUUAGAAUCACAGAGUUUUGUUCUACUUUCUUGCUCUCUUAAACAAAAAAUAUUAGGGUAUUUAUAGACCUCAAAUUACUUUAAAAAUUAGGGCCAAAAUUCAAAUCCUCGAGAUUUCGGGGUACUAGCGAUACCAUCGCUUAAGUUGGGCGGUACUACCGCCUGCAGUAUUGACACUAAGUAGUACCACCGCCUAACACUGGGCGAUACCACCACCCAAUCUAGUAGUAUCAUCGUCUAACACAAUCUCGGAGAUUGUGUCUUGGAGACUAAGCCGUUGGCGAUUCCACCACCUAGACCAGUGGUGCCACUACUUGACCCAACUUUUGGGUCACUAAAUAGGUCUUUCUCUUAGCUCAAAAUAGCUCCAUCUUAGGCCUAAUUGAGUUGACCUAAUUAUAUUCAAACCAACUCAAUUAGAACUCUAAACUAAUUCGAUCUAAAUAAAUUAUUACAAAGUAUGAAUCAUAUAUUGUCUGGCAUGUUAUUGGUUCUUUCGACGCUUUGUUUGAUCCUUCGGCGCAUCGUCCUCUCCUUCAACAUAAUGCCCAAUUGGCAUGUUAACUUCCUACAAUAUCCGAUCUCCUUGGUGCAAAGUUUGAUUCUUCCAGCUCGAUGCCCGAACUCACGGCACGAAGUCCUUCUAUCGGUACAUCGAUCAAUCUUCUAACAUGUUCAACUCUAGCCUUACGUCUGAUUCCUCCUAUUUCAAUCAAUUUGCCUCUCCUUGAUUGAAGCUAAUCCUGUGUUAAUCACAAACUCAUCAAUUGAUUUCAUCAUCAAAAUACGAGAUUCAAUAAUUUUUCCUUUUUUUAUGAUGACAAUCAAUUGAUAACAGAGUUUAAACUAAACUCUCCUUACCAAUAUGUCAUAUUGAUAAAAUCUUUAAAUUCAGAAAAUCAUGUAAUGCUUUAAAAAAUAAAAGUACAUCAUACCAUGCAUGAUUCGACAUAUUAUCAUAUCUUUUCUCCCUUUGUCAUCAAUAAAAAGGAGAAGUGCAUCUUAUAAGUUUUUGAGAUAUGCAAGUUUUACAACAUACAAGCAAUAAUUUUGAGUUGUGUAAGUUUAUAAAUUUUACUUCUUGAGAUAUACAAGUUUGCACUUUUGCUUCUCUUGAUAUGUGAAGACAACAAAUUCUUUCUUCUCUUGCAAGCUAUCGAUUUGCUUCUUCUUGAAAUGUGCAAGCUAGCAAAUUAUUUUUUUCUUUUUGCGAUAUGCAAGCUAGCAAGUUCUUGAGAAUGUGAAGUUUAGCGAAAUUUUUCUUCUCUUGAGAUAACAACUUUUUGUUUCUUUUUAUAAUGUGUAUUUUAGCAGGUUUUCUCUCCUUGAAAUGUGCAAGCUAGCAAUACUUUCUCCCCCUUUGUCAUUAUCAAAAGGAAGAAUACAAUGGUACAAAAUUUUUCUUUUUACAUCAAUUUUUAGAUUAUAACAAAUAUUAAU
rnacentral:lncRNA from 1 species